UGCGUAGGCGGAUUUAUAAGUCAGUGGUGAAAUCCUACAGCUUAACUGUAGAACUGCCAUUGAUACUGUAGAUCUUGAGUACGGUUGAGGUGGGCGGAAUGUGUCAUGUAGCGGUGAAAUGCUUAGAUAUGACACAGAACACCAAUUACGAAGGCAGCUCGCUAAACCGUAACUGACGCUGACGCACGAAAGCGUGGGGAGCGAACAGGAUUAGAUACCCUGGUAGUCC
rnacentral:rRNA from 1 species